AAUAGGGGCAAAAGUGGAAAUGACCCUAAGAACAUGCCAAUCCAUUUUGGAGUGAAAUAAAGAGACAAAAAUGUACCUAUAUGAAAGUAGAGUAACACAUGGCAGUAGAAAGAAAGGAGAAUGAUACUAUUAUGAUUCGCGUGAGUACUACCAUACCAUUCCCACAAUUCACACAGUCCUCAGCUCAGCAAAAAUGACUCUACUUGUGCAUUCUUGAUAUUGGUAAAAGUUUUGCAGUUGAAGAACAGUCAAUAUAUACGUGGGAAAUGACUCGAGAUAAAUUAGAUGUUUGUCAACAUGGAGUGGUAGUUGAUCAGAAGAAGAAAAUUAAGUGCAACUAUUGUGGCAAAGUUGUUUCUGGUUUAUAUCGGCUUAGAAAACACUUAGGUGGAGUUCGUGGAGAUGUAACUCCUUGCUUGGAGGCUCCUACACUUGUAAAAGAAGCAUUCAAAACUGAGGUUGUACAUGAGAAGAUUGGCAAUUUGAGCAAGGAAGUUGGGCAAACUUACCACCCAAAUCUUCCUUUGAAGAGGAACUGGUGCCCCCGAGAAAGUGAAAAUGGAAACAAAAAGCAAAAUGGAGUGAAUUCAAAAGUAGCUGGUAGUUGUGUUGUAAAUUCAUCCUCACGAGAGAUUUUGAAAUCCAUAGGGAGAUUUUUUUAUGAAGCAGGUAUUGACUUUGAUGCUAUCAGAUCGCGUAGCUUCCAAAGGAUGAUAAAAGCCUGGGGAGACGAUAAAAGUUCCUAGCUGUCGGGAAUUGAAAGGGUGGGUCCUACAGGACGCUGUAAAAGAGAUGCAACAAUAUGUAAUGGAGAUGAAAAAUUCAUGGGCAAGCACGGGGUGUAGCAUUUUGCUAGAUGGAUGGGUAGAUUUAAAAGGUCGAAAUCUGAUUAAUAUCCUAGUGUACUGCCGGAGGGGCACUAUUUAUCUUCGAUCAUCAGAUAUUUCAUCUUUCAAUGGCAAUGUUGAUGCCAUGCUGUUAUUCUUUGAGAAAGUUGUCGAGGAAGUUGGAGUUGAAAAUGUGGUCCAAAUAGUUGCUUACUCGACAUCUGCCUGCAUGAUGGAAGCAGGCAAGAAACUAAUGGAAAAACGUAAGACGGUUUUUUGGACAGUAGAUGCUUAUCAUUGUAUGGAACUUAUGUUACAGAAAUUCACAAAGAUAGACCCAAUACAACAAGUUUUGGAUAACGCAAAAGCUCUUACACAAUUUAUUUACAGCCAUGCCACUGUCCUGAAGCUUCUAAGAGACGCUUGCCCGGAUGAGCUAGUAAAGCCUUCAAAGAUAAAGUCAAUUGUGCCCUUUAUACUCUGGAGAACAUUGUAUCACAGAAAGAACACUUAGUGUCACCCGGCCAGUCUUCUAAUUGGCGUACCUCAUUCUUGGCUUCUACGAGUGAGGGUAAAAGAAUGUUGGAAAUGGUUCUAGAUCAAUCUUUUUGAACGGGGGCUUUGAUGACCGUAAAAGCAACCAUUCCUCUGGUGGAAGUAAUAAAAUUAAUA